rfam:Sorghum bicolor cultivar BTx623 chromosome 3, whole genome shotgun sequence.
GUAGUCGGAUUCACAUCAAUCCAUGUAUAUUGGGGUGGGUUGGAGUGGAACUUGAACUAAAUUCCACCCCAAUCCACUCCAACAUAUAUGGAUUGAGGUGAAUCCGAUA